rnacentral:rRNA from 1 species
UGCGUAGGCGGUUUGAUAAGUUUCAUGUGAAAUCUUCGGGCUCAACCCGAAGUCUGCAUGGAAAACUGUCGGGCUUGAGUAUGGGAGAGGUGAGUGGAAUUUCCGGUGUAGCGGUGAAAUGCGUAGAUAUCGGAAGGAACACCUGUGGCGAAAGCGGCUCACUGGACCAUAACUGACGCUGAUGCACGAAAAGGCUAGGGAAGGCAAAACAG